GAUGAACGCUGGCGGCGUGCCUAAUACAUGCAAGUCGAGCGAACGGACGAGAAGCUUGCUUCUCUGAUGUUAGCGGCGGACGGGUGAGUAACACGUGGAUAACCUACCUAUAAGACUGGGAUAACUUCGGGAAACCGGAGCUAAUACCGGAUAAUAUUUUGAACCGCAUGGUUCAAAAGUGAAAGACGGUCUUGCUGUCACUUAUAGAUGGAUCCGCGCUGCAUUAGCUAGUUGGUAAGGUAACGGCUUACCAAGGCAACGAUGCAUAGCCGACCUGAGAGGGGGAUCGGCCACAUGGGAACGGAGACACGGUCCAGAGUCCUACGGGAGGCAGCAGUAGGGAAUCUUCCGCAGUGGGGGAAAGCCUGACGGAGCAACGGCGCGUGAGUGAUGAAGGUCUUCGGAGCGUAAUACUCUGUUACUAGGUAUGAACAUAUGUGGAAGUAACUGUGCACAUCGUGACGGUACCUGAUCAGAAAGCCACGGCUAACUACGUG
rnacentral:rRNA from 1 species